UAGAAAAAAUGGAGUUUAAGCAAAAUAGUUAUGAUUUUUGUCGACUAGUACACUGGAAUUGGCCAAAAAUAGGGCUUAAAGUGGGCAAAAUCGUCGAUGCGUAAACAUCGUCGAGACCGCUAACUUCGCGAGAGCAUAAUUCCGCAAGUUUUCCAUCAAAUUUCAUACUUUUGGUGUCAUUAUGAUCGGGAAAAGAUUCUCUAUCUUUUCAUAAGAAAAAAUUAUUAUUAUUUUUUUUUUUUAAAUUUGGCCGACCCUGAGAACAAGUCUCCGAGAGGACCUGUCGACCCCCAAAGGGUUAAAAGCAGGGUCCCAUAGCCUAAUGACCCUCCUUAAAGCUCCUGCCCAUUUUUCUUGGCUGAUAGACAAAUUCUUCAUCGUCAUUCUGCUUCUGUCGUAUCGAAAUUGGAUUUUGGCGACCAGAUGUAUUCUGCAGCCUUUCCCGCAAUUUCUAAACUUUAUUCCAUUCAUCAUUAAGAGUUACAUUUGUGCCUGGGUGAUUUUUGUUCCUCCCUGGCUGAGAGCCUUUAUGCAGAGGUGAAUAUUCUAUCUUUGCAAGAUUGGAGUGAUGCAUAUUGUCUCCAUUAUAUUGUCUUCUCUCAUCAUCUUCGUGAUCCUUCUACAUAUAGAAUGGUAAAUGUUAGUAUAAGUCCUCUGUUUGCUUCCCCACUUUACUAUGUCCUUUUUCUCUCUAUAUUCACUCUCUUGUGUUCUCUUCAUUUACCAGGUGCCAGAUCAACCAAGCUGUGAUGGCUAUGUAGGGCAGCAGGCUUCCAGCAGCAACAGCCUGAUUGAACAGGCUAGCACCAGACAAGCCUGGCCCAUGGUCGGGCUCUGGGAGUAGAAAGUCUCGAAACUCACCAGUGGUUUAAAGGUACCCUUUCUGAAUGUCCAUCCAUCUUCUUACUUUUCCCUUCCUUAGAAAUUUCUAACUUCCUGUCUCACUCGUGCCAUUGCAGUUGACACUGAUGCUUGUAGGUCCUCUGAAGGUGUUGGGUUUGCAGCAGUUUUUCUGGACAGAGUUAAUUGAAGCCAUUUAUUUGACUCGGCUAGCAUUUUUCACAGCUGAGUUGCUUGCAGUUCUCAUGGUUGUUAUAUGUAUUGCAUCACUGCCUACCUCAACAUUUGUAGUAGUUUCAGACUUCUUUAGUGCAUUACAGGCUAUCCAGAAAUUUGAUUCCUCAUCCCAUUUUUUUUUUUUUUUGUAUACAACUUUGGUUGCACUGCAUUUCUAGUAAACACAAAGGCAUCAUUUUAUGCAUGGUCCCUAAACACAUGGAUGUUCAGGGCAAUGAGCAAACAGACUCUGCUAUGCAGCCAGCCAUCCAUGAUCUCAUUUCAUGUUGAGACAUUCUAUUCUCAGACUAUUUUGCAGUAAUCUGUAAUAAACUUCACAGGCAUUGGCAUUAAGGGGUCGAAGUUGAUUCACAAUAAAUUGCAUUCUGUUAGACAAUGUUUGGGUUGCUGAUCAUCUUAUCAGAUCAUCAUCUUAUCACUGCCGUGUUUGGGAGACUACACUCUCCCACCUACACACUAGGCACACACAGCUUUCACAUGGAGGUGUCAUGGAGAAGCACUUCUUAAUAGAGUGUCCUUAUUAUUAGUGGGCAUGCAGAAUUUACUGUUGAUGUUGUCACUGCCCUAACACUAUCUGACCUAGCUGACAGCCCUGCAUUUGAUGCAGAUUCUCUUUGACUUUUUGUCAGCACCUACCUUAUUACAAUGGCUUUAAUUAUAUUUUCUUAUUGGCACUCCCCACUACCCUUGCUAACUCUGACCCUUACACACUUCUAAACCUUACUUGUCUCUGAUCUUCACAUGUUUCUUCUUUAACAUAUCCCAUCCUGCAGCCCUAUAUGACUCUUGUGGGUUUAACAGUUUUAAUUAUAAUUAUUAGUGUUGACCUACUUAAAUGCAUCUAAUAACUCCAACUGAAAAUGUACCACAAGGAAGUGCACUAGCACCACCUUUUUUCUGUUAUCGAUGAUCUUGCUUCAGUUGCUACAUAAGAGAAUCUGUGGAUGCUUUUGCCAUUGCUUAUGGUGGGAUGACUCCUCAAGGCACGUUCCUUGAUCCAGUGAAUUGGACUUUUUCUCCCCUUGGAUGGAUCUCAGUUACUACCUGUUCCCAGGCACUGUUUGAAUCCUAUGGGUUUAAUGCUUUGCUCUAAUAAUUAUGCCGGGAUGAAGAAUCAGCUGAUGACUCCCUAAUAAAAAGGCCCAGUUGAUUGCAUGUCUCAUUACAUUGCCUAAGGGCUGAGACUGUUUUUAACUUUGUAUAUCCAAAACAAGCUUCAAGGUGCAUUAUCAUUUACCCAUUCCAUUCCCUCUUCAAUGCACUCAAGCUUUGAUUUCUUAACUAAAACUAACUUGUUGCAUUGACACUUGUUCAGCACAUGAGCACACUUCAUGCUGUACUUUUUUUUUGCUGUCAGCAUCCCUCUGCCAUGUUGAAAUGUAUUAAUGUUGGUAGAAUUACCAACAAUAUGUUAAGUAAAAGGAUGCAAGUGCAACUAAUGUGACAUUUUAUUGAGGCAACAUUUCACAUUAGUUGCACAUGUGUCCUUUUACCUAACAUGUUGAAAUGUUUGGCCUACAUGAGUUUGGUUUUUUUUUUGGCUAAACAUGUUAAUAGAGGCCUGGUCACGGACUGGGCUGAUGGGUCAUUGACCCCCAGAACACACUCAAGGUAUAUGUGGGGUUGUAAACGAGGUGACUGCUAGGGUGUUUGGAAGAUAUGUAGCAUUCAGUAAUGUUGGAUCUGAUACAAAGUAGGAUUUGUCAGUUGCUCCUAACUGCUGACACAGUUAUUUUGGGAGACUGUGAAGACAAGGCGCAAAGGUUGGUGAAUGAAUUUAGGUGGGUAUGUAAAAAGUAUGAAAUUAAAAGUUAACACACUGUAGAAAAGAGCAAGGUGAUAAGGCUAACAAAAAAAAGUUCAGGCAAAAAUACUGUUCACACAAGCUUGCUGGAUGUUGAGGAUCCAGCAAGCAUGUAUGAACAUGUUAAGUGUGAAUGAAGAAAGUGGUUUUUAAUGGACAUGCUCUUGGAGUGAGAGCAAGGUAACUUAUGAAGGGAUCCAGAAAAACUGGUUAACCAGACUUGAGUCCUGGAAGUGGAAAGGGCAGUGCCUGCACUCUGAAGGAGGGGUGGGGAUGUUGCAGUUGAAGGGUAAUCUGAAUUGUGAUGUCACUGCACUUCUGGAAAGACAGCAGUUGAGUAAAUGAUGAUGAAUGCAUUUUCUUGGGUCUCCCUGCCCUUGGCAGGAAGUGGAUACUGAGGCGAAAGGGAAAAAAAAUAUAUCCCACAAUGCAGAUACACUUUUACCACUAUGUCUUUAAAGAGUUUUUACUUUUGAGAUAGAUAUUUAGAGUCUGAUGUUUUUUUAGGUUAGAAAUGGUAUACAGUACUGACAGACUAAUGAGUAAGAUGUGUAACAUUAGGCAUCUCAGUUGCCAAAACAUUUUGCCUGCACAGCAGGCUAUAUCAGUCAAAGGGUGAAACUUUUCAGCAAUAAAGGUACCUAAUGUUGCACGUGUUUCUCAUUAAACUGAUCUUGUUCAUUCACACGUCUUAAAACAGUGAGUAGUUCUUAUGAUGUGAUUCAUAUUGCCAUAUAACGCUUGUUUUCCCUGUUUUUAGGUGCUUUGAUGCUGGUUCUUGAUCCAGAGAAUUGGAGCUAUCCUUCACUUCCUGGGAUCAAACCUGACUACCUUCCAUUCCUCAGUCCCCAGGCACUAUGUGACCCCUACGAGUUUAACACUUUCCUGUCAGUAUAAUAAUAUACUCCUUAAAAACAGAUAUGCUUUAUGUAUACAAGACAAAUGGUUUUGUUGUGGCAUAAAACAAAAAAAUAAUCAUUAGUUCCUGUUGAAUUCAUGGUGUUCAUCCUAUUUUUAUCUUCAUGAGGCAAAUAGUUCUGUUACAGUCAUCUGAGUGGUGUUGUCUGCUCACUUCUGGCAAGAGAGUGAUUGAAGGAAUGACAAUGAAUGUGUUUCUUUGUCUUGGGGUCACCCUACCUCAGUGUAAGACAGUUGGAUUGUUAAAAAAUUAUGGCCUCCCUGAAAAGGGUUUUAUGAUAUACAAUAGUAUCAAGUUGAUACCUGGAGUAAAACUGGAGAGAGUUCUGGGGGUCAACGCCCCCACAGCCCAAUCUGUGACCAGGCCUCAUGGUGGAUCAGGGCCUGAUCAACCAGGCUGUUACUGUUGGCCACACUCAAACCAACGUAAGAACCACAGCCCGGCGGGUCAGGUACUGACUUGAGGUGACCAUCCAGUGCCUUCUUGAAGACAGCCAGGGGUCUAUUGGUAAUCUCCCUUAUGUAUGCUGGGAGACAGUUGAACAGUCUUUGGCCCCUGACACUUAUUGUAUUGUCUCUUUAUUGUGUUAGUGGCACCCCUGCUUUUCAUUGGGGGGGAUGUUGCAUCAUCUGCCAAGUCUUUUGCUUUCAUAGGGAGUGAUUUUUGUGUGCACAAUUGGUACUAAUCCCUCUUAGGAUUUUCCAAGUGUAUAUAAUCAUGUAUCUCUCCUGCCUGCGUUCUAGGGAGUACAGGUUGAGGAACUUCAAGCGUUCCCAGUAAUUGAGGUGUUUUAUCUCACUUGUGUGCUGUGAAGGUUCUCUUUACAUUUUCUAGUCAGCAGCUUCACAUACCUUGAUAGGUGCUGUUAGUGUGCAGCAAUAUUCCAGCCUAGAUAGAACAAGCAACCUGAAGAGGGUCAUCAUGGGCUUGGCAUCCCAAGUUUUGAAGGUUCUCAUUAUCCAUCCUGUCAUUUUUCUAGCAGAUGUGAUUGAUACUUUGUUGUGGUCUUUGAAAGUGAGAUCCUCUGACAUUAUUGCUCCCCUGUCUUUUACAUUAGUUUUUCGCUCUAUUGUGUGGUUGGAAUUUGUUUGAUACUCCAAUGUAGUUUUAAUUUCCUCACAUUUUCCAUAUUGGAGUAAUUGAAAUUUCUCAUAGUUGAACUUUAUAUUGUUUUCUGAGGCCCAUUUAAAGAUUUGGUUGAUGUCUGCCUGGAGUCUUGCAGUGUCUUCAAUCAAGGACACUGUCAUGCAAAUUCAGGUGUCAUCUGCAAAGGAAGACACGGUGCUGUGGCUUGCAUCCCUGUCUAUGUCAGAUAUGAGGAUGAGGAACAGGAUGGGAGCGAGUACUGUGCCAGUCGCUCAGUAGCCUCCUCAGACUUUACUCUGUUUACUACUACUAUUUGAGUUUUAUUUGUUAGGAAAUUAUAGAUCCAUCUACCAACUUUUCCUGUUAUAUUCCAUUGUCAUGCAUUUUGUGCACUAUUACGCCAUGGUCACACUUGUCAAAGACUUGCAAAGUCUAUGUAUACUACACCUGCAUUUUGUUUGUCUUCUAGGCAUCCAGGACCUUGUCAUAGUGGUCCAGUAGUUGGGACAGGCAGGAGUGACCUGCUCUAAACCCAUGUUGCCCUGGAUUGUGUAACUGAUGGGUAUCUAGAUGAGUGGUGAUCUUGCUUCUUAGAACUCUUUCAAAGAUUUUUAUGAUAUGGGAUGUUAGUGUUAUCAGUCUGUAGUUCUUUGCUAUUGCUUUACUGCCCCCUUUGUGUAGUGGGGCUAUGUCGGUUGUUUUUUGCAGCUGUGGGAUGACCCGUGUCCAUGCUUCCUCUCCAUAGGAUGUUAAAAGCACAUGAUAGGGGUUUCUUGCAGUUCUUGAUGAACACUGAGUUCCAUGAGUCUGAGCCUGAGGCAGAGUGCAUAGGUAUGUCAUUUAUUGCCUUUUCAAAGUCAUUUGGUGUCAGGAUAAUAUCAGAUAGGUUUGAAUCCACCAAAUUCUGUCUCGCUCAUAAAAAAUUCAUUUAGGUCUUUGAUUCUCAGCCUGGUUAGCAGCUCACUAAAAACCUAGUCAUACUGGGACUUCAGUAACUCGCUUAUUUCCUCACUGUCAUCUGUGUAGAACCCAUCUUGUCUAAGUAGGGACCCAAUACUGGAUGUUAGUUCUCGACAUAGAUUUGGCAUAAGAAAAGAAAUUUUGGUUUUCUUUCAAUUUCGUUUAUGGCUGUUAGUUCUUCCCGCAUUUCUUGACUCUUGUAAGUCCUAUAGCUUAAGUUCGACGUUUGCUAUUUUUCUAACCAGUGCCUCCCUUCAUAUUACGGAUAUAUUGGCCUCUUUUAACCGCUUCGUUAUUCUUUGCCUUUGCCUGUAUGGGGAGUGCCUUUCUCUUUCUAGUUUACAUAUUCUCUUCCUUUUCCUUAAAGGAAUAUAUAUGCUUUGAGCAUACCUCGAGUGCCAAAGAGUUAAUUUUUUCUAGACAUAGGUUUGGAUCCAUGUUGCUUAGGAUAUCCUCCCAGUUUAUAUCAUUUAGGACCUGGUUGACUUGGUCACAUCUUAUGUUUUUGUUAUUGAAGUUGAAUUUGGUGAAGGCUCCCUCGUGACUGAUCAAAUUUUGUUGGUCCGGGGCCCCACGCAUACAUGUCUGAACCUAUAUUAUGUUAUGAUCUGAGUAUAUUGUUUUUGAUAUGGUAAUAUUUUGUAUCAGAUCAUCUUUGUUAUUAAUAAUAUGGAAGAUUUGGUAUCAUUAUCUUCAAUAAAGAUUGUGUGUGAAAAGGAUUAUAGGCCCAUGAACACUCAUUGCUAUCACCACUUCAUUCAGUGUGCCUUCAUAUCUAUGCUAUGCCUCUUUGCCUUUUCCAGGAAGAGGCCUUGAUGCCAGUGAAGGGUUCUUGAUGCAAAAAAAAAAAUAGUUUAGAUAUCCCCACAUGAAGUAAAUUAUGCCUCUCUGCUAUCACUGUGCAUCUGUAAAUUCUGUGCCUCCUUCCCUCCCUCCCAUAACACAGUAUACACCAUAAAGAUGGGAUGGAAGCUAGAGCCAUGUGGUUGUUUUCACUGCAUGACAGUAGCAACUUGAUAUGAUCAUGUGAACUUCAACAGAUCCUGACGGGUAAUUCAUGCGUGUAUCACAGAUGUUUAGUAAUUGUUAACAUUGCACCAAAAUGCAUUUAAUUUAGGAAUUUGUUGCCACAUUGUAAAUUAGGACAUGUUGCUUCUAUUGAACUUAAUGUAUUACAACUGUUUUCACAUCAGUCGCAUAUGUAUGCACACGCCCUGCAAUUCAGUUUUGGAUUUUCUUUUGAAAAUAGUCUCGGUUUAUUAAUUUAGUAACUAUGCAAUAACCUCUAAUAGAUUCAGAGGGCCACAGUAAAUCUUCCUGCAGACUAUGGGUUAUUGACCAAUGAUCUGCUGUUUUAAUAAAAUUCAGAAAUUGUCCCAGACAUAUAAGUUAUAUUGUUGAUUUGCUGACUGCCAGCAGACCUGGAUAUGAAAAGAAAGCCUGAUUUGCAUAAUAUUGUAUUCACUUUAUUGAAAACAAGGCACACGACAUUAGGCACAUGAGUCUGGUAAAUACAAUACUUGGGCACUUGUGUCCUGGGUGUCCAGGGUGGUGAGACACCAUGCCCUACCUCCCAGCAUGCAGAAAAUUGUCACUGCAGUCGGUGUCAACCCCAGACAUGCCAGCACCUGGGGCUCACACAAGGCCACAGUGUACACAGUAUACUCUACACCAGCAUAUUGGCAAAAAUUCAUCUACUGCUUAUAACUAGUGCUACUACUAGAUACAGCCAGUUAGUGAGUAGAUGGAGAGACAGAAAUAAUAAAUAUUAAUAGUAAUAAAUAAUAAACGCUAAUAAAUAAUUUUGUCCAUCCACCCUUCAAGGGGGACGAGUGCCUUGAUGCUGGUGAUCUUAUGAUGCAAGAAAUUGAAACUACUCUACCUUUCCUUAGAGCAAAUUUAAUCACUUCUCAUUUCCCUUGCCCUGUAUUACCCCUAUGGGUUUAGCCUGUAUAUGCAUAAUGAAGCAUUAAACCUGUAUGGGUCAUAUAGCAUGUGGGAAAUGGUGGUUAAUUAAGUUUAAUCGAAAGGAGAAUUAUUCUAAAUCCUUGAAUCAAGAGCUUUUCACUAGGAUUUCUCUGCAUAUAAUGAUGUUGGUACUUCCCCAACUUUCAGUCGUCUGCACGUAUGAUCUUUAAAACCAAUUAACAUUAUACCUAUGAAUUCCCUUUUGAAUGGUGGAACUACUGACAACUGUGGAAAUGUCACUUCCAGGGAGAAGACAGCAUCAACAUUCAAGGUAAAUACUGUACUGUCACUUUCAGGGAGCAAGACAGUAUCAACAUUAGUGGUAAAUAUAUACUGUACUGUCACUUACAAGGAGCAAGACAAUAUCAUCAUUCAAAGUUUAAUACUAUCCUGUAUUGUAACUGUUUAAUUAACAGGUACUAUACAUGUUCAUUACACGUUGAUACUAUUGGCCAUUGACAAGGAACAAUAUUUCAUCAAAAACCCACACUUAGGAAAGGAACCUUUUGCAAUAAGGUUCCUCUCCCAAAUGCAGGUUUUUGGUGAACUGUUCCAGUCACGGUAUUGUGACUUUUUAUUCUUUAUUGGGUAAAUAUCUGCCAUUAAAAAUAGAUGAAGUAGAAUGUAGAAUAUUAUGGUUUGGGAAAGCAUCUUCACUUAUGGUGUGGGUGUAUCUUUGAGAAAAUAAUCUGCAAGUUCCAUACACAGAAAUUUUAUAGAGUUUUUAGGAACCCAUUGGGGAUAUGAAGGAUCUACUGUUUAGUUUCUCCUUACAAAUUUAAUGAUAAUCUAUACAUGGGCAGCAGUGUAGAUAGGCCAUUGAAUGCAAGCAGAGAAACCAGCUCAGGAGUAAAGGGAGCAGCGUAGCAUUGUAAUAUGUUUAUUUCUUAUGGUAAGCAGAGUAGCAGUGGAGGUGUGGUGGUGAUUGUUCAUGGAGGAUUGUGGUAGCAGCUGAGGUGUGAGCAUCACUGGUAUAUUCACUAGUCGACCAGCAACUAGCAGAACCAGGAAAUUGACCAAGGUAAUCAACAGCUACCAGAACCCAGGUUACAAGUGUGUAAAUACAGUAAACCCCUCAAUAUGGACUUUGAGCAAUAUCCCCUGGGUAAAUUGUACUUUUAACUCCUUUAUUUCAAAUGUUUAUUGCAUUAUAUCUGUAAACUGUGUAUACAGUGCUAUAUUAGGUAUACAGCAGACUACUUAAUUAAGUACCUUUUUUUGCUAUUUUUUCAUUCUGAUUUAACAAUCUCCAGGACAAUAUCUUCUGCUAGUCCGGAGGGAAUGGGGGUGCUGCCUUGAUGCUAGCAAAUGGCUCUUGAUCUAAGGAAUUAGUACUCAACCCUUUACUAAAUCAGAUUUGAAUACCUUCAAUUUCCCUAUGGGUUUACCACUUCCCCAUUAUAUACAAAAACAAGUGGUAUAGAGAACCCAUAGACUUACUAAUUGCAAUCUGUACACAACCUGGAAAGUGACUAGGGCAGGCAACCAGUACAUGACCUAAUGACUUGACUAGGCCAACAAAUAUGUACAAGAUAUAAAGCAGACUGAGACAGGCUGCAGAACAACCUUGCAUUGGCACAUCCUUUUGUUCUGUGUAGAGGUUCAUCAAAUUAUAACUUUAUAAAACUCUACACAGCUAAAUGUUGUCCCAAUAAAAGACUGUUCUUUGUGUCUUUUCUUUACUAUUGUCUAGAGGCUGACUAGGUCAACCAUUACAUAACCUGGUCAGAAAGUAGGAACACAAUACAGAAACAGACAAGCUCAAGCAAAAUUCACAGGAAUCGAAAGUUGGUUAAGAAAAAAUUUUUUUUUUCAAAAUCCCACCAAGCACUUACAAAAUUGAGCAGAUGACCAGGGCAACUGACAAUGAGAAAAAAUACAGAUCCAAUAGAUGGCUAAAAUAUCUGGAUGACAAUAGAUGGGCUGCAGUAAGCAGCAUCUAAUAAGACAAGGCCCUUUCAGAUGCCUUAAUGUCAGUGAAGGGCUCUUGAUCCAAGGGAGGGACUCUCAUGGAUCGAACCUGAUUACCUCCCAUUCCCCAGGCACUGUCAGCCCACUACAGGUUUAGUGAUAAUACUAAUACAGAACAUGAGGAACCAGGAUCUGUGGGUUAACAAGAGUAAUCACCACAGUCCUGACCUGAUAACCUUCCAGGACAACCCAGUGCCAGCAGGAUCUGCACAUCUAAGGCAAAACAGUAUCACCUAGACCUGAAAAUCUACCAAGACAGCACUGUGAGGGCUUCAAUUCAAACAGCACCAUCAGAACCUGAUGGUCUACAAAACAAACACCACAACCAGAACCUGAAAUCUACCAAGAUAACAGCACCACCAGAGCCAGAAAUCUACCAAGACAACAGCACCAUCACAACCUGAAGAUCUAUCAAGAUCACCAGGACCUGAAAUCUAACAGCACCACCAGGACCUGAAAUUUAUCAAGACAACAGCACUAGGACCUGAAAUCCACCAAAAUAACAGCACCAUCAGGACCUGAAGAUCUAGAAUACAAACAGCACCAUCAGAACCUGAAGAUUUAGAAUAAAAACAGCACCAUCAGGACCUGAAGAUUUAGAAUGAAAGCAGCACCACCAGGACUUGAAGAUCUAUAUUAGCACCACCAGGGCCUGAAGUUCUACCAUCAUCACCAGGACCUGCAGAUGUGCUAGGACAAACAGCACCAUCCUUCAAAUGCUGAAUGACCCUCUGGGUUUAGUGCAUUAUAAUGGAUAAACACAUAAACAAAGAGAGGAUGAUUAGCACUUUAUCUUCCAAAACAAUCACUACCAGAUAAGAAAAUCGACUCCCUGACCAUCAUGACCUGAAGGUCUGCAUGCAGUACCUGAAGAUAUACAAGCACUGCCAGCACCUGAAGAUCUAUCAAGAUGUGAACUUCUAUCAGAACCUCACGAUUUACCAAGACAACCAGGACCUGAAGAUCUACAAGACAAAGCACUGCCAGGACCUAGACACUUACCAAAACCAACAGGUCUGAAGAGACCACCAAGACCAUAUACUAUGGCACUACAGCUGUCACUUUAAAGGUAACCAAUCAUCACAAUGUACUAGAUUUAGGUGUAGCCAGCAAGUGCGAAGUUAACUAGGGAGAGAUGCCACAUCCCUGGUGUUGUGUGAUCCUUGCUCUUUAAGAGAUUUGCUGUGCCAGGAUGUCAGUAUGGGGCUCUUAAUCCAAGGAACUGGACUUUUCCUCUCCUUCCUUGAAAUGAACUUGAAUGCCUCCCAUUCCCCAGGUGAUGUGGCAGUAUUGUUGGUACAGGUGUGAGGUGAGGUAGUGUUGCUGACACAGGUGAUUGAGGUCAAAUAAAUCAUCAGUAAUUAUUAUUAUUAUUAU